AACGCGAAGAACCUUACCUGGGCUUGAACUACUAGAAGUAAGAUCUAUGAAAAUAGAGAUGACCCGUAAAAUCGGGAGCUAGCAGAGGUGCUGCAUGGCUGUCGUCAGCUCGUGUCGUGAGAUGUUGGGUUAAGUCCCGCAACGAGCGCAACCCUUAUCCUAUGUUGCUACGUUCGAAAGGACAGCACUCUUAGGAAACUGCCUCGGAUAACGGGGAGGAAGGUGGGGAUGACGUCAAGUCACCAUGGCCUUUAUGUCCAGGGCUACACACGUGCUACAAUGGCCGGUACAGCGAGCAGCAAAUCCGCAAGGAGGAGCAAAUCUCUAAAAGCCGGCCCCAGUUCAGAUUGUGGGCUGCAAUUCGCCCACAUGAAGGUGGAAUCGCUAGUAAUCGGGGAUCAGCUGGCCCCGGUGAAUACGUUCCCGGGCCUUGUACACACCGUACGUC
rnacentral:rRNA from 1 species